AUUACGAUAAUGUGCCACUCGUUACAUAAUGUAACCAAAUUGUUACUUGAAAGUGAUGUUGUGUUCAGCAAAAAAAGUAGCUCAGUAAGACACUUACCGAGCUGCUUUUUUGCUGAAUUAGAUGGGUUAUAUUUAUAAGGUUAUACCGCUUUCAUUUAUUCACGGUAAACCAACUCGUUCGUAUACGCAGUAGUUAAUGAGAAUUGUUAAAAAUUUUUCACGAGUCGCAUGUAUCAGCUCGUAAGACUGAGUCGCAAGCGAUAAGUGAGCACGAUUGAGUAUGUGGCAUCGUUGGUGAGGUAGGAUUUGAGUAAAUUAAUAUUACUCGUGUAAGAUUGAGUAAAUUAAUAUUACUUGUGUAGAAUAAUCUCAGGGCGAAAAAUUAUAUUUCAGUUGCCAGGUUGACUGUCAGAAAUUUGGUCGCAGGGUUGACGGUCAACCCGGCGACCGAACAUCCCCACGACAUCUCGACGCCGUUCUAAUACUCCGAUUGGAGUUCUCGCUUCCCCGAUGUUGAGGGGAGAGGAGACCGCGAAGAACGGUUUUCCUUCUCUUUCCUGUUCCUUCUUUUGGCGAUGGGUGCUCGCCUUACAAAAAAGCAAAGAUACAUCAAAUACUACAACAUUUUGGAGCAUAAGUUUUCCCCGCAAGAGCAACAUUCCUGGAAAUUAUACAGCGGAGUUAGAGGUCGAUUAUCUUAGCUUGUCAAUCAUUUGGUUGUUUGACGCGAGUGCUCGUAUCGAGUUUGAGAUUUCUGAAUGUCUCAAUGGUAAUGUAACCAUAAAACAGGCUAAUAAAACCAUAGCGGGAGAAUUUAUCUCCUCUACAAAUGAGACAAAAUUAAUGAUAGACAUGCGUAAAGGAGAUUAUGACUUUAUAACACACAAUGCGUCGGUUCUAUCAACAUAUUGGUUUAUCGACUGCAAGUAUUACGGUCAGACAAAUGAUUUCACUUUCGCUUACAAUUUUACGAGUCCUGGGGUAACGCACGAAAUAGGAGCCUUAGUGAUCGUUUCGUACGAUCUGCCAACGACUACGAUACCUACAACAACCACGAUUGCACCUAACGUGAGCACAAUCGCUCCAAAUGCUACGGCAAAUUCGAAUGGAAAUCUUGUCACGGUUGUAACAUCACCAACAACUGUUACGACUGCAAAAUCAUCGAUAGAGUUGUCUACGACAACUGCAGUUCCGACUAAUGUGAGCGUAAUAGAUACUGUCAACAUGUCAUUGCCGUACAUUUGCUCAAACACGUCUCUCAUUCCACCGGAUCCUAACAAGACGUAUGGAUAUUUUCAAAAGAAGAUCCACGUUCGUGCUCCUGUGUCAAAUAUCUCGGUGGAAGGUACGAAUUGGAUUCAACCGUGGGACAUGCUGUCUUUGAAUGUGACCUGCAAAGGAUCGGGUCCGUUUUCCAAGUGUCUUCAAUUUCACCGUGGAAAGUACAAUGUAACGGGAAAUGAGACGUGUGAUAAUGCGGAACAAUUGCAUUCCUGCAAUUUUUCCAUUCUUCAUUAUUUCCUCGAGCCCAGUGUCUACACAAUAUUAAUCAUACUUAACAACGAAGUUAAUACACAGAUUUAUCCACUAAUGAUAAACAUUUAUAAAGUUACGACAAAGCCGCAAUUAUCUAUUAUUAUAGUACCAGUCUCUUGCUCAGUCGUUGCUGUAGUGCUGAUAGUGUUUGGAGUGGCUUAUUACAUACAAAGUAGAGCGAGAUUCACGAUAGAAGUGGCAGACUUUGACUUUGGGCAGAAUAAUCCAGAGAUGGAGUAUAAAACGUUUGCGGAACGUUUACGCGACUCGUUUAAUAAUACUGUAAGACCUGGCAACAAACGGCUAAACGUGCCCUAUUACGGCAGCAUGAAUUACUGAAAAUACGGGCUGUAUGCGAAGCUACGUGAUCUAUCUAAUCUUUCUGUUACUUUCAAUGCCGGGUAUAAACCACUCAGCAAUCCACAAACACUUCAGUGAUGCAUGAACGAGAAGUAACAUUCUUAAAAGCGACAUUAAAUUACAAUAAAAAUCUAUGAGGAACAGAGACGAGUGAUGCAUCAAGCAAAAAUGUUCAUCGGCAAGUUCAAUACUAGCAAGGAGGUAACGUGUAGUGAUUGGACAAUUUAAUAUCGUUCAAAGAUAAACAGUGAUUAUAAAAAAAAAAGUGGAAGAUGACACAGUGCUGCACGAUCAUUUCCAACAACUAGCGAACGAUGAAAUUUAGAUUAAAUUGUAUAUAUGAAAUUACAAUUAUAUAUAGGCUGUGAAUAUAGUACGCAAUGGUAUGUGUGUUCAAGGCGCUCAAAAACAUUCUGUACAGGAAAAUUUGAUAUUAUUUUAAAAUCCCGAUGGGUGUUAUCUCAACUUACAUCCCUUUUUAUGAUUUGCGUUAUCUUUUGAAUUAUCUAUUAGCAAUUGUGUGUCGUAUGAUGAAAUGCAUUAAUUCGCUGGGUCAUAGCAUUCCGAUUUGCUUAUCUUAUUUCAAAUAUAUUAGAUUGAUAAGUCUGACUACUCUUAUGAUUAGCAAAUUAAUGCACUUUACUAUGUUUCGCAUAUAUGGAAUACAAAAGUGAUGAGUGAAAAAAAACAAUACUAUAUUUUAUUAAUUUGUAACUUGUAAUUUAUACAUGCAUACAACACGCGGGUGCACAUACGUAUAUUCACGAACACGCGUAUAUAGAAAUCGCUAAUAUGAAGAGGCUUUAUUGGAAAGUAGAGUAAACUCACAUUUGUAUUAAAAAAAUUUUUUUAAUACAUAUUGUAAUUUAUAAUUUAUGAAGAAGUAAAUUUUUUAAAAAAUUUUAUUCAAGUUGUUCUAAAUGAAUUUUGUUUAUAAAUGAAGCAUAGAGGAGGGUAGGCUAAAUUGGAUCGUGUUCCAAAUAGGACCUUUUUAAUUUAAAUGAAUACAGUUAAGCAGAUUUGUGUGCGUUUAUAAUGUAAAGUCCUUAUAAGACACUGAACGUGUGACAACAGUUUAACAGUUUUUUAUCAUAACAUUCAUUGAAUAGACGCGAAUAUGUAUUUUUGUUCAUUGUGCAAAAAUUAAAAUAAAAAAAUUCUUGUAAAUCAUUCAAAAGAUACUCAAAUUUUGAAGGAUAAUUGAUUCAUGAUAAUUAAAGAAUGUAAAAUUCAAAAAUAUCAAUCAUUUUGCGAUCACUUUUGCGGUUUUGUAAAAUUUGUUCCAAAGUUCAAAAGGAUUUAUGUCCAAAUGGACUUUUACGUUCAAAUUGCAACCUGAUCGUAGCACUGGCGAUUGGCCAACCAAAUCUGAUUCUACAAAUGUUUAAUUAGUAAAGUAUUAUGUCAUCAGAUUCGGAA